rnacentral:rRNA from 1 species
GAUGAAUGCUGGCGGCGUGCCUAACACAUGCAAGUCGAGCGGUAAGGCCCUUCGGGGUACACGAGCGGCGGACGGCUGAGUAACGCGUGGGAAUUUGCCCCAAAGUGAGGAAUAAUUGCUCGAAAGGGUAGCUAAUGCCGCAUAUGGUCUUCGGAUUAAAGGAUUUAUCCGCUUUGGGAGAAGCCCGCGUUGGAUUAGGUAGUUGGUGAGAUAAAAGCUCAACAAGCCAACGAUCCAUAGCUGGUCUGAGAGGAUGACCAGCCAGACUGGAACUGAGACACGGUCCAGACUCCUACGGGAGGCAGCAGUGAGGAAUGUUCCACAAUGGGCGAAAGCCUGAUGGAGCAACGCCGCGUGCAGGAUGAAGGCCUUCGGGUUGUAAACUGCUUUUAUGAGUGAAGAAUAUGACGGUAACUCAUGAAUAAGCACCGGCUAACUACGUGCUAGCAGCCGCCGCCGUAA